CCUAUCUUCCUCUAUCUCUACUCCCAUCUCAACUCCUCUUCCCAUGCCCUAAAUAAACUCUUAUAUACUAUACCCAUAUAGAUGGUACCUCAGGGUGAGGGGUUAUCUCAGGCACCCCUCCUACUUCACCAUACCUGGCUCUACCAAACAUCCUGGCUCUUUUCAUAAAACACAACACACAGAAACAUACAGAGGAUCCUCAAGGCCACACCCACUCAUCCGAAGUUUGCUAGCACUCCGGAGGCCCCAGAAAAAGGAUAGUUUCUAGGCCAUUGGACUGGCGUUUUGGUAAGGUGUUUGAAAUAUCCUGCUGUUUGCAAAUGAAAACUAAUCACCUCCUCCAUUUCGAACGACGUUGCCUGCCCAUGAAUGAGGCAAGGAUUGAAUGAUUUGUAUAAGGAACUCAACGGUUUAAUGCAUUAGGGCGUGGAGAUUACAGCUACUGCAGAAUGGGGUCUGCAACUUGUCCUUACGACCUAAGACGAGAAUCGAAGCCCUGUGGUCACGUAGACAUCGAAAGAAUCAAAAGCCCAAGCCUCCGUCCCCAUAGUGGUCAGGUAUCCUAACGGAGCCAAUCUAGAUAAUCCACAUGGACGCACGCAGAGGCUCACCUCGUUGGUAAUUCUAAAUCACAUCAAGUUGGCAAUCAAUACUAACCAUCACAGUGACCUCCAAAGGUUGGAAGUUCCCCAGGAGACCUGUGUGGAGGGAAAGGAACGGCCGAACCUGGUGCAGCCAGGGGAGGCACGUGUCUCCCGGGAGGAGCUCUCACAGAGGUCUGCCAUCCUAUCAGACCACCACACAGGACAGAAGGGAGCUGAGAGACCAAGACAGCGCCCCUUGUCCAGGACUGCUUAGUUAUUCCUGUCUCCUGUCCUCUCCUUAAACCUAAACAUCACAAAGGGCCUCGAGGUAGACUGAGAUGGCCAAAGGGCGCCUCUGCACCUCUCCCCAAUGUGACCGCACUGAAUAAAGUCUUCUUUUUC
rnacentral:sRNA from 1 species